rnacentral:rRNA from 1 species
GACGAACGCUGGCGGCGUGCUUAACACAUGCAAGUCGAACGGAAAGGCCCUGCUUUUGUGGGGUGCUCGAGUGGCGAACGGGUGAGUAACACGUGAGUAACCUGCCCUUGACUUUGGGAUAACUUCAGGAAACUGGGGCUAAUACCGGAUAGGAGCUCCUGCUGCAUGGUGGGGGUUGGAAAGUUUCGGCGGUUGGGGAUGGACUCGCGGCUUAUCAGCUUGUUGGUGGAGUAGUGGCUUACCAAGGCUUUGACGGGUAGCCGGCCUGAGAGGGUGACCGGCCACAUUGGGACUGAGAUACGGCCCAGACUCCUACGGGAGGCAGCAGUGGAGAGUAUUGCGGAAUGGGCGGAAGCCUGAUGCAGCAACGCCGCGUGCGGGAUGACGGCCUUCGGGUUGUAAACCGCUUUCGCCUGUGACGAAGCGUGAGUGACGGUAAUGGGUAAAGAAGCACCGGCUAACUACGUG